rnacentral:rRNA from 1 species
UACGCAGGCUGUUUUGUAAGUCGGGUGUGAAAGCCCGGGGCUCAACCCCGGAAUUGCGCCCGAGACUGCAAAGCUUGAAUGCGGGAGAGGGAAGCGGAAUUCCUGGUGUAGAGGUGAAAUUCGUAGAUAUCAGGAGGAACACCGGUGGCGAAAGCGGCUUCCUGGCCCGACAUUGACGCUCAUGUACGAGAGCGUGGGGAGCAAACA